rnacentral:sRNA from 1 species
UUCAACGUAGAUCCCAAAAAUUCCACCUGCACUUUGCAGAUGGAAUUUUUGGGAUCUACGUUAUAAUUA